AGAAAAGGUCAUGCACUUGGUAAACGGACACCGACGGGAAAUCUCUGCCGUUCAAUUUCUUGCAGGAACUGGUUUUUAACAACAGAAAGAUUUCUAGAAACUGGUGCAGUGUGAGGCUGGCCAUCAUCAACCAGGGUUUUCUUCCCACCCCUGGAUGCCUCAUCCAUGGAUGACAACUGCCCAGCAUAGAGCUCCUCAAAUGAGUUCAUUCCAUGCAGUUUUCCAACUAGAGUGAGGAAGAUGUACUGAACUGGACCCCAGAAGUGUAGUGUUGAGCAUUACUGACUUUUUCCUUGUCUGUUUUUAGAAAUGAAUAUAAUCAUCUAAUAAGACUCCUCUGAUUCAAAACCCUAAGUAAAUUCCUCCCCCUAUGUUAUGAUGAAACACAACACCAACACCUCAGUGAACUUUUCCAUUCAGAAAAGAAAAAGGAGGUGCCCAGAAAUCUCUGGUCCACUGAUGAUCCGUGAACACACCAAGUUCAUAACAAUAGAAAAACAAAAACCCUUGGGGAAAAUUUUAAGAUCCAGGUAAGAAGCUACAGCACUGAACACAAAUGCUUACCUCUAAAACAUUCAACAAAAAUUAUGGCAAAGUUUAAGGCAAUUUGCUCACAUUUGAAUUUGUCCCUGCCCAGGACACUGCAGUGAGAUACAAAAGAAGAGAGCUUCACGAUUCCCAGCUCUUCCCUUGGAGGAAACUCAAAUCCAAACCACAGUUAAGAUACCAUCUCUAAUCCUUUACAGCAACUGUCCUCAAACACAACAGAGACAAGUGUAGGCAACAUGAGGGGGAAUAGCAAUCCUAGCAGACUGUUGGGAAUGUAAAUUGGUGAAGCCAUUAUAGAAAACACUGCAAAAGUUCCACAAAGUACUUAA